rnacentral:rRNA from 1 species
GGGGAAUUUUCCGCAAUGGGCGAAAGCCUGACGGAGCAAUACCGCGUGAGGGAUGACGGCCUAUGGGUUGUAAACCUCUUUUUUCAGGGAGGAAAAAAAUGACGUUACCUGAAGAAUAAGCAUCGGCUAACUCCGUGCCAGCAGCCGCGGUAAGACGGAGGAUGCAAGUGUUAUCCGGAAUCACUGGGCGUAAAGCGUCUGUAGGUGGUUUAAUAAGUCAACUGUUAAAUCUUGAGGCUCAACUUCAAAACCGCAGUCGAAACUAUUAGACUAGAGUAUAGUAGGGGUAAAGGGAAUUUCCAGUGGAGCGGUGAAAUGCGUAGAGAUUGGAAAGAACACCGAUGGCGAAGGCACUUUACUGGGCUAUUACUAACACUGAGAGACGAAAGCUAGGGUAGCAAAUGGGAUUAGAUACCCCAGUAGUC